rnacentral:lncRNA from 1 species
CGGCGGACAGGAGUGAACAAGAAGUUGUUCGUCGGAAGAAUGGAGUGAUCGUCGGCGAACUGGAGGGAUCGUCGGCGGACUGGAGGGAUCGUCGCCGGACUUGAGGGAUCGUCGCCGGACAGGAAGAAUCGCCUAAAGGAUUUGGAGAGUUUUAACUUCAAGAACGAUUUGGGGAAAUCGAUUUGGGGUUUUGGGUGUUUGAUUUGGGGAAAGUCGAUUUGGGGAAAUCGAUUUGGG